UACGUAGGGUGCAAGCGUUAAUCGGAAUUACUGGGCGUAAAGCGUGCGCAGGCGGCUAUGCAAGACAGAUGUGAAAUCCCCGGGCUUAACCUGGGAACUGCAUUUGUGACUGCAUCGCUGGAGUGCGGCAGAGGGGGAUGGAAUUCCGCGUGUAGCAGUGAAAUGCGUAGAUAUGCGGAGGAACACCGAUGGCGAAGGCAAUCCCCUGGGCCUGCACUGACGCUCAUGCACGAAAGCGUGGGGAGCAAACAGG
rnacentral:rRNA from 1 species